rfam:Gorilla gorilla gorilla genomic chromosome, chr19, whole genome shotgun sequence
GCCAGGUGUGGUGGCGGGCGCCUGUAAUCCCAGCUACUUAGGAGGCUGAGACGGGAGAAUCGCUUGAACCCGGGAGGCGAAGGUUGCAGUGAGCUGAGAUCACGCCACUGCACUCCAGCCUGGGUGACAGAGCGAGAUUUCGUCUCAA